rnacentral:lncRNA from 1 species
GACCAAAUUCCUCCAUGAUCUGCUUCAAUUACUGCCUCCAGGUUCCUGCCUUGAAUUCCAGUCCUGGCUUCCCUCAAAGAUGCACUGUAAGCUGAAAUGCCUGCCCCCAAGUUGUUUUGAAGAGGGCAUCAGAUACUACAACCUGGCCAUCAGCCCCCCCCCCCAUGCCUGCUUUCUCUCCGUGGACCCCACUUUUCUGUCUCCUCCUCUGCACAGCAUCUCAAUGAAUUAGCCUGAGAGCUGUACCCAAUAAACCUGCCUUUAUAUACUUUA